rnacentral:rRNA from 1 species
UACGUAGGGUGCGAGCGUUGUCCGGAAUUAUUGGGCGUAAAGAGCUCGUAGGCGGUGUGUCGCGUCGGCCGUGAAAACCUGGGGCUCAACUCUGGGCGUGCGGUCGAUACGGGCAUCACUUGAGUUCGGCAGGGGAGACUGGAAUUCCUGGUGUAGCGGUGAAUUGCGCAGAUAUCAGGAGGAACACCGGUGGCGAAGGCGGGUCUCUGGGCCGAUACUGACGCUGAGGAGCGAAAGCAUGGGUAGCGAACAGG